GCCGGCGUAGCUCAAUUGGUAGAGCGGCUGAUUUGUAAUCAGCAGGUUUAAGGGUUCGAGUCCCCUCGCCGGCUCCA
rnacentral:tRNA from 1 species